rfam:Ricinus communis cultivar Hale ctg_1100012361804, whole genome shotgun sequence.
AGUCUGUGGUGCAGGCAACAUUGAAGCAAGUCUUUGUACCUCUCCCAAGCAUCGUACAUGCUCUCGUCAUCGAACUGCAUAAAAGAAAAUAUAUCAUUUCUCAAUCU